AACGAACGCUGGCGGCGCGCUUAACACAUGCAAGUCGAACGAGAAGGCGUAGCAAUACGCUUGUACAGUGGCGAACGGGUGAGUAAUACGUGGGCGACCUACCCUCGAGUGGGGAAUAACCCGCCGAAAGGCGGGCUAAUGCCGCGUACGCUUCCAUCUUUAUGGAGGUGGAAGGAAAGCCGUGCCGUGGGCACGGCGCUCAAGGAUGGGCUCACGUCCUAUCAGCUUGUUGGUAGGGAACGGCCUACCAAGGCUCCGACGGGUAGCUGGUCUGAGAGGACGAUCAGCCACACUGGCACUGCGACACGGGCCAGACUCCUACGGGAGGGCAGCAGUGAGGAAUAUUGCGCAAUGGGCGAAAGCCUGACGCAGCGACGCCGCGUGGGGGAUGAAGGUCUUCGGAUUGUAAACCCCUUUCGGGAGGGAAGAUGGGACGGGCAACCGUUCGGACGGUACCUCCAGAAGCAGCCACGGCUAACUUCGUGCCAGCCGCCGCAGU
rnacentral:rRNA from 1 species